UGCAGUCGACGAGCCUUCGGGUUAGUGGCGGACGGGUGAGUAACGCGUGAGAAUCUGCCCUCAGGAGGGGGAUAACAGUUGGAAACGACUGCUAAUACCCCAUAUGCCGAGAGGUGAAACGAAUUUUGCCUGGGGAUGAGCUCGCGUCUGAUUAGCUUGUUGGUGGGGUAAAAGCCUACCAAGGCUUCGAUCAGUAGCUGGUCUGAGAGGACGAUCAGCCACACUGGGACUGAGAUACGGCCCAGACUCCUACGGGAGGCAGCAGUGGGGAAUUUUCCGCAAUGGGCGCAAGCCUGACGGAGCAACGCCGCGUGAGGGAUGAAGGCCUUUGGGCUGUAAACCUCUUUUCUCAAGGAAGAAGAUCUGACGGUACUUGAGGAAUAAGCCACGGCUAAUUCCGUGCCAGCAGCCGCGGUAAUACGGGAGUGGCAAGCGUUAUCCGGAAUUAUUGGGCGUAAAGCGUCCGCAGGCGGCCGUUUAAGUCUGUUGUUAAAUCGUGGAGCUCAACUCCAUCACGGCAAUGGAAACUGUUCGGCUUGAGUAUGGUAGGGGCAGAGGGAAUUUCCGGUGUAGCGGUGAAAUGCGUAGAUAUCGGGAAGAACACCAGUGGCAAAAGCGCUCUGCUGGGCCAUUACUGACGCUCAUGGACGAAAGCCAGGGGAGCGAAAGGGAUUAGAUACCCCUGUAGUCCUGGCCGUAAACGAUGAACACUAGAUGUUGGGGGAAUCGACCCCUCCGGUGUCGUAGCUAACGCGUUAAGUGUUCCGGCUGGGAGUACGCACGCAAGUGUGAACUCAA
rnacentral:rRNA from 1 species